AUUCACAGGCUAGAAAACUGGGUCUGUCUUCUUUUCCUACCAGCUGAUCGUAUUUUAAAUGAGCAGGUGUUACAGAAGCAGGAAAGAAUAAGAGCUAUCUUGUUUCUGAGGAGUGGAACCUCUAUGGGUCCAAAAGUGAAAACCUCUCCGGGGAGCCUGAGCUCCACCCGCCUGGUGGGAGGAGACCCAGGAACUGCGCCCUAACUCACAGUCAAGUGCAUACUCUACCCUGCAGGGCAGCCCAUCUGUCCACUUUCUGGGGGGCUACUGCUCCCCAAAGCCGCACUUGGGAAAGGAGGCAGAAACCUUGGAACCACCCGAUGCUCUGAGUGUGACUCUCCAAGCCCCAGACACUGGCUCCCAAACUGCAAGAUCACACGAGCGUUGCUGAGUUUUCUGUAGUAAGCCUGCUGUGCCUUGAAAUUUAAUAUAGAAAAUAAUGAUUGGGAAAUGAAGAAAUGACCAGAAUGGACUUCUUUCUGAACUGACUUCUUCAACUCCAGGCUGCCCGGGCCCUGAGCUCUCAGGUCACCCAGCCCUGCUUCUGCCCCAUUAUGCUGUGCUCAGCCCCAGGACUGGGGCAUUUAAACAAAUGAUUUUGCACAUACCCUUCUGGGCCUUUGCAUAUGGUGUCCUGCCUGUACCUGCCUUUCUGUGAUUUUGAUUUCAAUCUGUAAUAAGUAAUAACACGAGUAUAUCAGCC